rnacentral:misc_RNA from 1 species
UUGAUUUAUUUAAUCAUUUACUCAGAAGAUACUGUAUAAAAUCAAGGGUUUGGGUCCUCUGGCGGGCUGCCGAAGCAGGCACCGCCGAGGCAACAUUAAGGUAUGUUCACAGGGGUUUGGGAGUUGUAAACUCGGUAAUGAUCCCUCCGCUGGUUCACCAACGGAGA